GAUGAACGCUAGCUACAGGCUUAACACAUGCAAGUCGAGGGGAAACGAUAUUGGACGCUUGCUUCCGAUAGGCGUCGACCGGCGCACGGGUGAGUAACGCGUAUCCAACCUGCCCACCACUUGGGAAUAACCUUGCGAAAGUAAGACUAAUGCCCAAUGAUAUCUCUAGAAGACAUCUGAAGGAAAUUAAAGAUUUAUCGGUGAUGGAUGGGGAUGCGUCUGAUUAGCUUGUUGGCGGGGUAACGGCCCACCAAGGCGACGAUCAGUAGGGGUUCUGAGAGGAAGGUCCCCCACAUUGGAACUGAGACACGGUCCAAACUCCUACGGGAGGCAGCAGUGAGGAAUAUUGGUCAAUGGGCGAGAGCCUGAACCAGCCAAGUAGCGUGCAGGAUGACGGCCCUAUGGGUUGUAAACUGCUUUUAUAAGGGAAUAAAGUUAGUCUCGUGAGACUUUUUGCAUGUACCUUAUGAAUAAGGACCGGCUAAUUCCGUGCCAGCAGCCGCGGUAA
rnacentral:rRNA from 1 species